rnacentral:rRNA from 1 species
AACGAACGCUGGCGGCAUGCCUAACACAUGCAAGUCGAACGAGACCUUCGGGUCUAGUGGCGCCCGGGUGCGUAACGCGUGGGAACCUGCCCUUAGGUUCGGAAUAACUCCCCGAAAGGGGUGCUAAUACCGGAUAAUGUCUUCGGACCAAAGAUUUAUGGCCUUUGGAUGGGCCCUCGUUGGAUUAGCUAGUUGGUAGGGUAAAAGCCUACCAAGGCGACGAUCCAUAGCUGGUCUGAGAGGAUGGUCAGCGACACUGGGACUGAGACACGGCCCAGACUCCUACGGGAGGCAGCAGUGGCGAAUAUUGCACAACGGGCGAAAGCCUGAUCCAGCUAGGCCGCGUGAGUGAUGAAGGCCUUAGGGUUGUAAAGCGCAUUUACCCAGGAUGAUAAUGACAGUACCGGGAGAAUAAGCUCCGGCUAACUCCGUG